CGGCCGGCCACAAAGGGCUCCUGUGGAAGGGGCUGGAAGGAAUGCGGCCCGAGGAGUCGGGCGCGGGGCGGGGCGGGGCCGGCGCCGCCUCUUACCUGGCCAGGUGGCUCGCAUUUCCCGGGAGUGCGGGCGGGCGGGUGGCACGGGGACAUGGCCGGAUAGAGUGGAGGCCCGGCGGCCGGCGGCAGCAUGAAGAAGAGCCCGGCGGUGCAGGGCACCCUCAGCAAGCUCUUCGGGAAGAAGCACGCCAGCCCCACCUCCACGUCUCUCUAUGCCACCAACCCGCCCUGGAUCUUCACCCAGGAGGCCCCCGACGAGGGGACCCGGCACUUCGAUGGGAUCUGUUACGGGGAUGCUCGACUGGACACGGUCAGCGAGUCAGGAACGGCCACACUGAAGGCCCGGCCCCGUGUGCGGCCCCUGCUGACGUUCCUCCCACUGAACACCCAGGAGAAUCAUGGGCUGGCUGUGCCAACCCCCUCUGUCCCUGAAGAUUUUGCAGGCAAAGAUGUGACAGGUGGCAACUCACUGGUCAAUGGCAGCCUCCGGCUCUACAGCUCUGUGGGGGACCUGAGGCCCCAGCACUAUGGCCUCGACCCACUCAUCCCCCCACCUCCCCCAGGCCCAGCCCCGGGGCCACCCCAGGACUUUCCACAGGCCCCAGGGGAGUCUCUGCCACCACCGCCCCCUUCCACAGCUCCCCCGCCUCCCCCUCUGCUGCUGGAACCACCCCCGCCCCCCACCCUGGAGAUCCUCUCCCCACCCACCACACCCGGCCUGCCCGACUUCAUCCCGCCUGCCCCUCCCUUGGUGUCUCUGGCCCCUCUGCCACCCACCGUGCCAGCUCCACCACCCCUGGCCCCUGCGGCCCAUACAGAGGGGACCCGCCUCUUUCCCUCUGGGGGGGUCACCAAGUGGACCUCAGAUGUGGCCCUGAAUGGCAGGCAGCCAGAGACCCCCAGCACCAGCCCCCCCAGGAGCCCCGCCCAGCCAAAGGGCCCACACCCUGAGACCAACCUCACUGCCCCCCGUUUGUCCAAGGUGCCCCCCCCAGCCCCAGUCCGGACCUCAUCUAUCUCAGUUCAGGAAGCCCAAGGGGGUCCCCCAGAGGAAGAGGGUACCAUCAAGAAGACCCCCAGCCACCUCCUAGUGCCCCCCAGCUUCCACAUCCGCCCUGCGUCCCAGGUGUACCCCAACAGGGCCGCUGAGCCAGGCCACCCUCGGGAGCCCAAGGCUGAGGCUCCACCCAGCCCAGGGCUCAGCCAGGCAGAGCCCCCCACAAAUGAACCAGCUGGGCCUCCACCCCCUGCCCGUCCUCCACCCCCUCCUGCACCCCCACUUCCCCCUCCACAGCCUUCUGUUGUACAGGCUGCCCCUCCAGCUGCUGCAUUCCCAAAGCACCCCAAAUCCAGCUUGCCCACUCUCAAACCCACACCCAAGUGCAAACCCAAACUCCCCACACCGGCGCCUGAGGCCUCCUCAGAGCCAGCAGACUGGCGCGACCCCAGCCAGUUGGAGCAGCUGCGGAGCCAGCUGGCAGCCUAUCUGUGUGGCCCCAGGAAGGAGGACAGAGCCCUCCGUCACAGGCCGGGCCCCACGGUGGCUGCUCAGGACAAGGAGGGCAAGAAGGGCCCAAGUCCCCCAGCAGAGGCAGUGCCCCGGAUCCUGCCUGAGAAGAUGCCCCCGGGGGUCCCCGAGAAGGGUCCCACCCUGGCCCUCCCCCCGGUGGACUACGACCCCCAGGACACCCCAGCCCGCAGUGUCCAGCAGAUCCGGAAGGAGCUGGAGGCCCGGCUGUCUGCAUCCGCAGAGAAGGACGCCAGGCCCAGUGUGGGGUCACUGCCCCCCAAACCCCGGCCAGGAGGGGGACUAAGCUUGGCAAACGGGACAGAUAAUGGCAAAUUCCCCAAGCCUGUGGCCAAGGAUCCACUGCCUCUGUCUACCACACUUCAGCUGCGGACCCCGGCCACCCCUGGGCUGGCCACAUCAUCCUCGGCCACCAUGAUGCCCGCCACGCCACCCUACUUGACGGCAGAGAAGGAGCGGGUCCCAGCUGAGCGACGUGGGCAGCGAGAGCAGCCAGAACCUCAGGAAGGCGAAGCGCCCCCGACAGAGCCCGCCAGACUGCUCACAUCCAAGGCAACCCUGGGCCGGGGAGAGGUGCAGCUCUUCUACAAGCCCCAUAGCCACCAGAGCAGCCCCAGCCUCAAUGAGGCCACAGAGCUGCCCAUGGUGGCCAGAGGGACAGCCAUGGGUCUGGGGGGUCCUGUGGAGCUGCAGGGGCCCCAAGCCUGGCCAGCCGCACCCCUGCCCCCAUCCCCAUCCCCGCCUGCUGACCAACUGCUUCGGCACCCCGUGACCGGGGAGGUGGUGGAGCGCGGGUCCCCUAUGGCCCUGCUCCUGGCAGCCCGGAAGCGGGCUCAGAAGGGGAGGCCUGGAGGGCUUGCCCAAGGGCGGUCCUUGCCUGGAAGCAUUCGAGGCUGUGGCGGCCUGCCGGAGCCCAAGUCUGACAGCGUCUUCCCCACGGACGGCAAGCCCAGCUCCUUCACCGUGGUCCCCAAGUCACCCAAGGAGGUGGAGAAGGUCACCCUGCUGCCCAGCGAGCAGAAGUCCCCAGAGGGCGCAGAGCCGCCCUCGCGGCCUUGGUGGACCACGAUGCAGCGCCCUGCACCCGGGGGGACCUGGGACAGGCCCAUCCCCUCCAGCCUCCCGCAGGACCCCUUGCUCCCCAGGUCCCUGUCGUCGCCACCCUCACCUUUCUGCAGGCGGCGGGAGGCUGAGGCUGAGGCUGAGGCUGAGGAGUUCACUUUUGAGGUCAUUCCGCCGCCGCCCGAGUUCAGCAACAACCCUGCUCCCUCGGUUCUCAAGGACCUGGGGCGGCCGCCUGGCCUGGCCUUCCCACAUGUCCUGGAGCGUGGCUGCCCCGGGGGCCGAUCGCUCAUCAAGAAGCGGCUGUACAUUGGGGGGGAGCCACCCCACGCCCCUGGACCUGGCCGCAGCCAGGGCACCCCCAACGGCCCGACGCCUCGCCGCCUCCCCUCCGCCGGAUGCCCACACCCUGCCGCAGUCCACGGGCGGCGGAUGUCACUGGAGGGCACUGUGGCACGAGGCAUGGGUGAUGCCAAGUACAGGGUGCCUGGGGACUUGGCGGGGGAGCACUGCCUCGAGCCUGCCACGGGCAGGUAAGCUGGGCCUGGGCUGGCGGUGGACGGGGUGGGAGGACUGGGGUGGCAGGAGGGCACCCCGAGGCCUGGAGGGGCCGCCUUAGGUCUCGCUUGCUUGGUGUGUCUGGUGCCCUGGAGGACAGGGCAGGGUGAGGGACCAGCGGUGCAUGAAGCUUACGGCUCUCUCGCCCUCUCCCAGGUCACACAUCAACACCUUCACUGUGAGGCCCGGGACGCGCCAUCCCAUCUCCUAUGCCUACUCCCGAGCCCACCGGAAAGCCAUGUCCUGAGCCCGUGGCUCUCAGCUCUGCUCCGAGGGGUUGGGGCUGGGAAUUUGUCCUGGUGGGGGGUGGGAGGGUUGAAGCAGGUGUCAGCCUGAUCCAGACACAGAAGAGUCUUCGUUCUCCGAAGACAUGACGAGGAGCACAAGGAAGCCUGAGAAGGGAUCCGGGCUCUGUUUUCCAAAGCCACGGUGUGGUGUGGCUGGGGCCCUGCAGAAGGGGCUGGGGAGGGUGAGGAGGAAGAAGAGCGGGAGUCCUGCGCGCCCUGAGCCUCUGCUGUUUGCUGGCGGUUGCUUUAGUGAGAUUCACUGAGAGCAGCUGUGCAAGCCCAGACUGCUGAGCAGGUUCUAAGUGUUGCUGAAACCCGAGGGGCACUGGGCGUUGUGGGGUGGGUUCCUGUCCACGUGGCCCUGCCCUUAGCUCCACGGAGGCCCAGGCAGAGAGACUUGGUGAGCAGGGACAGGAGACCGAGGAUGAAGGCUGCUUCCUGUGCAGACCAAGCAGCCCUCAGGAUUGGGGCCUGAAAACAGCCCCUGCGUGCCCAGGUCUCGUGUGAGGGUUCCCGAACCCACUGUGACUUACGCAGGCCCAAAUGCUGGCGGGCCUUGGAAAGUGGAAGAUGGGAACACAGGUCCCAGAGAAGGUCACUGCUGGUGGGGCAGGUGUUUCAGGAAGCUGGGAGUACCAGGACUGGCCAGUUCAGAGCAGGGGUGACCAUUUGUCUUUUACCCGGGCAGUCCACGCUUAUGCCUGUUUUCCAAUGAAUCAGAACCCCGUAUUAAGUCCUGCUUGGCAUAAGAGCAUUGUAUUCACUCUCAGUUUUGUCUCCAGGUUGGGGCCGGGGAGUCAGGAGGAAGGCAGGGGGUGGCCCUUAAUUGGGGCAGCCUAGAAGCAGCUUCCCUUGGGAGCAAGAUACCGGAUCAUUAGCCAAGGGCCUAGGCUUCAGGGACAGAUACCAGAGCCACUUCCAGGAAAGACAGUGUAGGGUGGGUUAGGAGCAGGGUGGCCCUGGCCAGCCAUCCCGAGGGGACAGGGUCUGGGUCCCUGUGUUCAGGAUGCAGCUCUGCUCAACACCAGCCCUGGCUCUAGAAAUACUCGUGUUUCCGGUGCCGUGUUUUAGAACAGAGAUCACUAGGGCUGGGGAUUUAGCUCAGUGGUUCUGCCACCUUCCCCGCAAGUGCAAGGUCCUGAGUUCAAUCCCUGGUACCAAAAAAGAAAAGAAAAGAGAUCGCUAAUUCAUCUGCAGUGCUGAGGCUUGAGGAAGGGGUGUGACAUGGGCUCUGCGUUGCUCUGGGGUGGGUGGAGAAGGGCUUGGUCUCACUUGGCUUGGGAAAUAAACGAGCCAGUUGGGACUGGCCUUCAGCUCUGCGGCUGCAAGUGAUGAUUCGGAGUUCCUGGGUGUGGGAGACUUGGGCAGCUCUGCUGGGAAUGCCGAGCACAGGACGUUUGACCGCCCUGGUGUCUGACCUCGUUUUCCUCUUCUCCAAAUCCCUCCGGGGAAUGAGCAGAACCGAGGGCUGGUGAUAAUAAACAGUGUCCUUCUGCAAGACUCUUGGACUCUUCUGGACACGACAGCAGUGUUUACCUCCGCAGGCUCUGUGAAGAUCGGAGAUGGCCACACACUCAUGUAGCAAGGGUUUAUGGGGCUGCUGGGUGCCAGGCACUGUGCUUGGCAUGGGCAUACAGCCAUCCACACACGGUUCCUGGCUCCUGGCUUGGCAACAGCGGAGGUAAAAGAGAAUAAAAAGUGCCCAGAAACAUGGAGAGUUAAGCUGGUGCAUACCUGUGAUACCCGAGCCGAGCCCUUGUCACUGGGGAGGAAAUGCAGCCCCUGGAGGGCGCUGAGGUCCAGCAGAAGAACCCCAUGCUGCCCUGCGCCCCUUUGCCCUGUCCUGAUUAUACUGGCCCAGACUUCUGGCGGGGAGAGUGAGGACUCGAGU
rnacentral:lncRNA from 1 species